UAUAGAUCAGUGGCUGAGCGAGCGCGCGGGGGUGCUUAGGGAGGACUUAAUCCCGUCGUGACCUGACCUAGCACCCCCGCGCGCUCGCUCUCUUAGCCACUGAUCUAUAUA